rnacentral:rRNA from 1 species
GGAGCGGGCCACCUAUACUUCGCCGUCAUUGGCUUGUACUGUCUCCACACAUGAGCAAGUCUGGCCAUGACGUGUAGGAGGGUCGUGGCGGUAGCGUUGAAGGCUUUGGGCGUGGGCCCAGCUGGAGCUGCCGCCAGUGCAGAUCUUGGUGGUAGUAGCAAAUAUUCAAGUGAGAUCCUUGAAGACUGAAGUGGAGAAGGGUUCCACGUGAACAGCAGUUGAAUGUGGGUCAGCCGAUCCUAAGGCACCGGCUAAGGCCGUCACACACUACGGAUGAAGAUCUGGUUGCGCUUGCGUUGCCGAUCCAUCCGGUUGCCGAAAGGGAAGUGGGUUAACAUUCCCACGCCAGGCCAGGGAGAUGACGGUUCGCAAGAGCCGUUUCGCGCGGUAACGCAAAUGAACUCGCAGACGUUGUGUGGAGUCCGGGCCAGAGUUCUCUUUUCUGGUUUAGGACGCGUGUCCCUGGAAUCGGUUCAGCCUGAGGUAGGGAUGUUGCGUCCGUAAAGCACCGCGGUUCCUGUGGUGUCUCGUGCGCUUCACACGACCCGUGAAAAUGCGAGGGAAGCGAUGUGAAUUUCCUGCCUGAUCGUACCGAUAUCCGCAGCAGGUCUCCAAGGUGAACAGCCUCUAGUCGAUAGAAUAAUGUAGGUAAGGGAAGUCGGCAAAUUAGAUUCGUAACUUCGGGAAAAGAAUUGGCUCUAAAGGUCGGGUCAGCCGGGCUGUUGUGUGAAACAGGCGGCCUUUGCCCGUGGCUGCGUGCUGGCCCGCAAGGGUUGGCGCGUGGACUAGUGGUGAGGGCUGCUUGUGGAGCGCUUCAGCUGCGUGUACGCUCGCAAGGGUGUGCACUUCGGUUGGCGCUGAACGACCAGUUUAGAACUGGCACGAACUCGGGGAAUCCGACUGUCUAAUUAAAACAGAGGAGACGGAUGGUCCUUGCGGACGUUGACCGUGUCUGAUUUCUGCCCAGUGCUCUGAAUGUUAAGCCAAGGAAACUUGAUUAAGCGCGGGUAAACGGCGGGAGUAACUAUGACUCUCUUAAGGUAGCCAAAUGCCUCGUCCUCCAAUUAGGGACGCGCACGAAUGGAUCAACGAGAUUCCCACUGUCCCUAUCUACUAUCUAGCGAAACCACAGCCAAGGGAACGGGCUUGGCAAAUUUAGCGGGGAAAGAAGACCCUGUUGAGCUUGACUCUAGUCUGACUUUGUGAAGAAUCAUGAGAGGUGUAGCAUAAGUGGGAGCCGCAAGGCGCCAGUGAAAUACCACUACUUUCAUCGAUUCCUUACUUAAUCGACAAAACGGGAGUGCGCCCGCAUGGGUGUCCAA